rnacentral:rRNA from 1 species
GGGGGCCCGCACAAGCGGUGGAGCAUGUGGUUUAAUUCGAAGCAACGCGAAGAACCUUACCAAAUCUUGACAUCCUCUGACCCCUCUAGAGAUAGAGUUUUCCCCUUCGGGGGACAGAGUGACAGGUGGUGCAUGGUUGUCGUCAGCUCGUGUCGUGAGAUGUUGGGUUAAGUCCCGCAACGAGCGCAACCCUUAAGCUUAGUUGCCAUCAUUAAGUUGGGCACUUUAAGUUGACUGCCGGUGACAAACCGGAGGAAGGUGGGGAUGACGUCAAAUCAUCAUGCCCCUUAUGAUUUGGGCUACACACGUGCUACAAUGGACAAUACAAAGGGCAGCGAAACCGCGAGGUCAAGCAAAUCCCAUAAAGUUGUUCUCAGUUCGGAUUGUAGUCUGCAACUCGACUAUAUGAAGC